GCGGGUAUGGUUCAAUGGUAGAACGUCAGCCUUCCAAGCUGAACACAGGGGUUCGAUUCCCCUUACCCGCUCCA
rnacentral:tRNA from 39 species